GACGAACGCUGGCGGCGUGCUUAACACAUGCAAGUCGAGCGGUAAGGCCCUUUCGGGGGGUACACGAGCGGCGAACGGGUGAGUAACACGUGGGUGACCUGCCCUCAGCUCUGGGAUAAGCCUGGGAAACCGGGUCUAAUACUGGAUAUGACUCCAUGACGCAUGUUGUGGGGUGGAAAGCCUUGUGCGGCUGAGGAUGGGCCCGCGGCCUAUCAGCUUGUUGGUGGGGGUGANGGCCUACCAAGGCGACGACGGGUAGCCGGCCUGAGA
rnacentral:rRNA from 1 species